GUGAGGAAUUUUCCGCAAUGGGCGAAAGCCUGACGGAGCAAUGCCGCGUGAAGGAUGAAGGCCUAUGGGUUGUAAACUUCUUUUCUCAGAAAAGAAUUAUGACGGUAUCUGAGGAAUAAGCAUCGGCUAACUCUGUGCCAGCAGCCGCGGUAAGACAGAGGAUGCAAGCGUUAUCCGGAAUGAUUGGGCGUAAAGCGUCUGUAGGUUGUUUAAAAAGUAUUCUGUCAAAGAUUAGGGCUUAACCCUAGAUAGGCAGAAUAAACUUUUAAGCUAGAGGUGAGUAGAGGCAGAGGGAAUUCCCGGUGGAGAGGUGAAAUGCGUAGAUAUCGGGAGGAACACCAAAGGCGAAGGCACUCUGCUGGGCCAAUACUAACACUGAGAGACGAAAGCGAGGGGAGCAAAUGGGAUUAGAAACCCGUGUAGUCC
rnacentral:rRNA from 1 species